rnacentral:rRNA from 1 species
CCUACGGGCGGCAGCAGUGGGGAAUAUUGGACAAUGGGCGAAAGCCUGAUCCAGCCAUGCCGCGUGUGUGAAGAAGGCCUUCGGGUUGUAAAGCACUUUCAGUGGGGAAGAAAGCCUUGGGGCUAAUACCCUCGAGGAAGGACAUCACCCACAGAAGAAGCACCGGCUAACUCCGUGCCAGCAGCCGCGGUAAUACGGAGGGUGCGAGCGUUAAUCGGAAUUACUGGGCGUAAAGCGCGCGUAGGCGGUCUGAUAAGCCGGUUGUGAAAGCCCCGGGCUCAACCUGGGAACGGCAUCCGGAACUGUCAGGCUAGAGUGCAGGAGAGGAAGGUAGAAUUCCCGGUGUAGCGGUGAAAUGCGUAGAGAUCGGGAGGAAUACCAGUGGCGAAGGCGGCCUUCUGGACUGACACUGACGCUGAGGUGCGAAAGCGUGGGUAGCGAACAGGAUUAGAUACCCUAGUAGUC